UACGGAGGAUGCGCGCGUUAUCCGGAUUUAUUGGGUUUAAAGGGUGCGCAGGCGGAUUUUUAAGUCAGCGGUCAAAUCGUGGGGCUCAACCCCAUCCAGCCGUUGAAACUGGGGAUCUAGAGUGUGCGAGAAGUAUGCGGAAUGCGCGGUGUAGCGGUGAAAUGCAUAGAUAUCACGCAGAACUCCGAUUGCGAAGGCAGCAUACCGGCGCGCAACUGACGCUCAUGCACGAAAGCGUGGGGAGCAAAUAGG
rnacentral:rRNA from 1 species